UACAGAGGUCUCAAGCGUUGUUCGGAUUCAUUGGGCGUAAAGGGUGCGUAGGUGGCGCUGUAAGUCGGGUGUGAAAUUUCGGAGCUUAACUCCGAAACUGCAUUCGAUACUGCGGUGCUUGAGGACUGGAGAGGAGACUGGAAUUCAUGGUGUAGCAGUGAAAUGCGUAGAGAUCAUGAGGAAGACCAGUGGCGAAGGCGGGUCUCUGGACAGUUCCUGACGCUGAGGCACAAAGGUCAGGGGAGCAAACGGG
rnacentral:rRNA from 1 species